GUUCUUGAAAGUUCAGGAGCUCCAAAGAGCCAACACCCUAACUCAACGAUAACCAUCAAAUUGAAGGGUGAAUCAAGACUUAAAUUCACAACCGAACAUGGAUUAAUGAUCACCUUUACAAGGGGAUCAUAAGGGAUCAUGUCAAGAUGGAUGGAAGCAUGGAAGGCUAACGGGUCAAAAGGAGGCGAGGAAACAGAUGCGAAUACGGACACUUAAGGUGACCGCAGGUUAGUCAGAUAUUCAUGAGGGAUAAGUGAACGAGGAUCAAGUUGAAGAUCAUGGAUUGUACGGGAAGGCGGUCACGUUGUUUGUAAUCAUUUGUUAACAUAGUUACAUUAAAUAAAUGAUGAAUGAUGUAUUUAUGUUAGAAGGGUUGACCUAAACGCUAUUUAAGUAUGUUAGAGUAGUUAAAAGAAAGAAAUUUUACGGUUCA